GAGAAAUGGGGUGCAAGGACAGUGGUCUAGGCCUGUCUCCAUCUAGCAGGGAAAGAUCCCAGUUUGAUGCAUUGUUCCCUUACUCCAACCCUAGCAAAGGUGAAACAAGGCCACAAAAGAAUGGUAUAUUACAGAUUUACAAACACGGAGAGAAUCUUUCAGACUGAACUUUAGCAGAUAACAUGGCUCUGUGAAGAAACUUCACUAUGCGUUAUUAUGGUGAGUUUACUUUCCCCCUAACCCUUUGGCUUUCAUGACAUAAUUGUGUUUAAUAUAUUUGUUUUUACUGGACAUAUCACAUUAAAUCUUUAUUGCCCCACAUCCAUUUACCUAUCUCAGAUAAGUAAAUGUGACCUUGUAAAACAGCUAUUACUGAAAAUAUUAGCUUUAAAAACAUUUGUGUUUACAAAGAAAUGUAGAAGGAGUCACAUUUUCCACAGAGUCCAUCUACAGUAUUAGUAUUUUACUGUUAUAAUGCUCAGUAGCCUGUAGCAGUAACAAACUAGUGGCUAUUAAUGCUAAUGCAGUGUUCUCAUAGAAUAACUGUGUUCCUGCACUUUUUUAAUGUAUUACAGACAAAUCUACAACAAAAAAAGAUCAACUUUUUUCUCCAAACAAAAAAAUGAAUGAUUACAAUAAAGGAAAGGGAAAAAUUAAAUAGCUACAUAUCAUUAACAAAUUAAUUGUUCCUCAAAAAAUACCUACAAAUUUCUCUGUACAUUCUUUACGCACAGCGUAACGAUGGUCUUAAAGUUACCUAUAUAAAAAAGUGUUCUUUUAACAAUUUUCCUACAGAGAGUAGGGUACUGAAUGCCAAAGCAGGUAAGCGUUGACUACCCAGUAAGAUGGUAAUGAAAUGUGUGAAACUGGGGGCUUGUUUUUGUUUUUAAAAAAAUUGAGCAGCCACCCUCUCAACAUGAGUAAGAGCCAAUCUUCUGAUAUUUUCUCAAAUUAAAACAGCUUAACAUAAAAACAAAUUAAAAUAAAAGCCACAAUGGACCCAAUACUGUAACAGUCCAUAAUACAUCACAUGUAGUUCAUCUUCCAACUAAUCAUAACUUUCUAUAUAGAACCAGUCUCUUCAGGUAACCCAGUAUUUUAAACAAACAAACAAA